AUCACAUUGAUGAAAUGAAGGCUCAAUUAGCUAGGGAAUUAGAAAUGAAAGACUUGGGACAAGCAAACAAGAUUCUAGGGAUGCAAAUUCACCGAGACAGA